rnacentral:rRNA from 1 species
UACGAAGGGGGCUAGCGUUGCUCGGAAUCACUGGGCGUAAAGCGCACGUAGGCGGCUUUUUAAGUCAGGGGUGAAAUCCUGGAGCUCAACUCCAGAACUGCCUUCGAUACUGGCGAUCUUGGAGUCCGGGAGAGGUGAGUGGAACUCCGAGUGUAGAGGUGAAAUUCGUAGAUAUUCGGAAGAACACCAGUGGCGAAGGCGGCUCACUGGCCCGGUACUGACGCUGAGGUGCGAAAGCGUGGGGAGCAAACAGG